rnacentral:rRNA from 1 species
AGUGAACGCUGGCGGUAGGCCUAACACAUGCAAGUCGAACGGCAGCACAGUAAGAGCUUGCUCUUACGGGUGGCGAGUGGCGGACGGGUGAGGAAUACAUCGGAAUCUACUUUUUCGUGGGGGAUAACGUAGGGAAACUUACGCUAAUACCGCAUACGACCUACGGGUGAAAGCAGGGGAUCUUCGGACCUUGCGCGAUUGAAUGAGCCGAUGUCGGAUUAGCUAGUUGGCGGGGUAAAGGCCCACCAAGGCGACGAUCCGUAGCUGGUCUGAGAGGAUGAUCGGCAAAAUUGAACCGAGACCAGGUCCCGACCUCUUAGGGAGGGAGCAGGUGGGAAUAUUGGAACAUGGGGGCAAGCCCGAUCCAGGCAUACCGGGGUGGGUAAGAAGGCCUUUGGGGUGGAAAGGCCCUUUUGUGGGAAAGAAAAGGAGCCGGUUAAUAACCCGGUUGUUCUACGGUAACCAAAGAAUAAGGACCGGCCUAAUUUGUU